AUGGUGGGAGAGCCAGAAGUUAUAGAGUGCCUGGUGAUGACUCAACAAACCUACCAUUACAGGGAGCUUCAAAGUCCAGCCUGCCCAGAGGCUUGUCCAGAAUCCCUGACUGUAGGAAAUGUCCUGUAUGGGCCUCUUUGUAACUCCUAUCCGCUAGAGCAGCCAAAUUCUGGAGUCUGCAUUUUUAAGCUUAGAUGGAAUCUAGAGAUCAAGCGUCUGCAGUCCUGUGACCAGCUUGGACCAGCAGUUUCCUCAGCCCUGCUACGAAGCAGAAAAAAAAAAAAAAGAGAUAACCACAACCUCUACCUGAAACCUGUUCCACUGAGGGAAGGUUUAAAGGAGACCUUGUAAAGUGGAAGAAAUGAGGGGUUUCAACAAGUACUGGUCUUCAAGUGGGGGUAUGCAAACACUUUCUACAGGGUAAGAGACACCAACAGCUUAAGGAAUCAGUUACCAGAUCCUUGACAUAAAUCCAAAAAAAUUCCCUGCCUGAGCUCUUGCCUGUGCUGCCCAAGCAGAUUCUUCCUUUCUCCAACAGUCCUUUAUCUACUUUAUAAAGGAUGAAAGACAAGAACACCUCUCACCUGUGCUAAUCUUACCAUGGCUCACUUCCCUGGGCACCAAACAGAAAGAGGAUGGGAUGGGGGGCACUUGGAUGGGUCAGUUGGUUAAGCAUCUGCCUCUGGUUCAGGUCAUGAUCCCAGGGUACUGGGAUCGAGCCCACGUUGAGCCCCACAUCAGGAUCCUGGGAAGCCUGCUUCUCCCUUUGCCUCUACCUAUCACUCCCCCUACUUGUGCUCUCUCAGUCUCAAUCUCUCUCUCUCUCUGUCAAAUAAAUGGAUAAAAUCUUUUUUUAUUAUAAAAAAAGAAAGAGGAUUAGGAAUAUCAGUGUUGAUGCUAAGGGAACAAGCAGCUGUAUGGACUGAAUAGCCCAUAUUUCUACAAGUCAGGGGGUUUCUGAUGCUUUGUGUUCAACAAAACUGAAGGAAAGGCUUAAAAGAGUCGCAAACUUACAGAGCAUUCAGAAUGAUUUUUGACAAUAGGUCAAUAUAGGAUUUUUUGGCUCAAAUGAGCUCAAAGAAUUAACUGAGAGUGCUAUAACACUUUUUUUCCAUUCUUCUUUUCAUCUGAACAAGAUUCCUCUGUGUUUCCAUUCAGAAACACAUUUGAUACUGAACUCUGACCCACUCGAGCAGUGAGUAAUAAUUAAACCAGAUAUGUAACAUCGUUGUGGUAAAAAGGCCGUCUCUCUCAUGAAAGGAUGUAUUUCCACGAAAAUAGAAUUUUAUAUUUAGUAAUUGCUUACUAAUUUGAAAUAUGUAUUGCUGUUUUGACCAACUAUAUUACUAAUAAUUAUAAUGACAACUCCAUCAGAAGAGAUUAUUCCAUGGUCAUAGGAGCUACAGUCAAGAAAUAAAAAUAUUAAUAUCAAUUUAUAUAUAUAUUUAUUUAUUGCAGUACAAUAGGGUGGCCACUGAAAGAUUUUCAAGCUUAAAAAAUACACAUGAGAAAAAUCUAUCUGGGAAGUAGAAUGGAACUGCAAAUUCAGGGGAAAAAAGGCAUGACACAAAAUUUCUGAUGUGUAAAGGACAGCUUGUUCUGCUAUUGUCUGAAGACCCCCGGACGCCAACACGGGAUCAUACAUUUGGGUAAAGCCAACAUAGUAGAAACUGAGAGAACAAAGGAACAAUCAGUAUAUUUUUGCUACUAGAAUACAGGAAAGCUAGAUUACAAUGAUGUAAUGUUUACAUAUGCAGUAGACAUAAAAAGUUUAAAAGCAGCUCUUUGUUCUCCUGCUUACUGUGGGGCAGGCACCAGCACAUGUGAAAGAAAAAAGAUGACAGGACAAGCAGGCAAUUAGACUUGUGGAUGCUGAAGCGCCACCGGAUUGAACCUGGUGAAAUGACCCUGGGUUCCAGGAUAGAAGCCAGCAUACACGCGGUCCCACUGUAAGCCUGGGUCACGCCACCUCAUCUCAGGAUUCAUUCUAGAACUCCAUGAAACAAGGCCUCAUAAUUACUUUGGGGGUAGAAGUCAGUUCAGUUGAACUCUCACCAAGUACACAAAUCUUUUAUCGUGAAGAUCUAACUGGAUUCUUUUUCCGAAUCACACUGCAAAUAAAUUCAUUGUGCUCCUACGGUGCCAUAUGAUAUUAUUUUAUAAAUGCAGAUGAUUCAAAAGCAGCGAAUGCUUGGCCAUUGCUCUCAAUAAACUUGCCAUCUAACCAGGAGGACAACAUCCAAGUUAAAAUACUGAAGAACAAUUCAAAGCAACAUAUAAGAGAAACAACUACUCUCAUACUUUCCCAGUGGAAGUAUAAAUUAGUACAAUCCCCUGUGGAAGGAAUUUGGGCACAUAGAUCAAAAUUACAACUAAGUUUCUCCUUUGACCCAGUAAUUUAACUUCUGGGAAUGUAUCCUUUCCAACAUAUUAAGAAAUAACAUAUAUACAAAGUUACUCACUGCAGCAUUAUUCAAAAUAACAAAAGAUUGGAAAGGACUCAAAUACCCUUGAAUAGAGGACUGGUUAAAUAAAUCAUGCUAUAUAUAUAUACAAUGGAAUAUUCUGAAGGUAUAAACAUGUACAAGGAAGCUUUCAAUGAACAGAUAUUUUUUAAAGUCUCCAAAACCUAUUAAAGGGGUGGGGGUACUCAGCAAGUGGCAGAAAAUGUGUAUAUGAUGCACCCUUUUGUUUAUGUGGGAAAAACAAGAAUGUAGAAUAUAUUUGUAUUUACUUUAAUAUUCAUAGUGAACUCUAGAUGAAUACACACAAAAACUAAAAGCCGAGACCAGCAGUGAGUUGCGAGAGGGUGAAAAGAGGGUGAUGGGGAAGGGAAAGAGGGAGACUUUUACUGCAUAAAAUGCAUAGAUAUCUUUGGAACCUAUAUGUGGUAGUUUUUUCCAUUCAAAACAAUUAAGAAGAGAAUAAUGUAAAAACACUCUCCAAGGAAGCCCAGGAGAAUGAGGAUGAAGCUGGUUUUCGUGAGACUCCCCCUUGCCCUGUUUCGGGCAUGGACUUCAGCUUUGGCCAGGUCUGUGGACGGUAGGGAAAAUGAAAGAGACCGAGAGCACAUAGUUUUUGCAGUGCACUAUUGGGCUGUUUCUGCUGUGCCAUGAUGUCUGAAGGCUUCUGAGCCACUGCCCAGCUGAAAUUCUUCCCCUCCUGGUGCCUCUCCUUCACCAGGGCCUGGAUCCCAGCCCUCCCUGCCUGCCUUGUUGCCAAGAUGUUCAUGCCCAGCCAUCCUCACCAGUUACCAGAAUCCUCAAGCAGCUGGCUUUAAUUUUUACUGUGGGAGGGCAGAAGGGGGGAGGGCAGAGUCGAUUAAGUAAAUUUCUAUUAAGGGAAGAGUAAAGUGCAGGAGGUCAAAGAGUCGGGGACAGAUGCCUGGCUGGCUGCCAAGUCAAGCUUAGAAAAUACUCCCCAAAGAUACCAGAAAAAUCUGCCCAAAUGUGGAAGCUGCUGGCUUUGGGUUGUGUAAUCAUGGGAGAUUUUUUUUCCUGGUUUUUAUGCUUUGAUGUGCUUUCCAAUUUUAUUUUUAAAUGAGUAUAGAUUACCCUUAGAAAACAAACACUAUUGCACACCAUGUGAAAGAUGUAUAUAUUAAAAACCAAACCACUAUUCUUAAAUAGUUCAGGAACUUUGAAAGAUAAAGAAAGGCAGGUCAGAUGGGCAGCAUAAGAAUUUCACAGCUGUAGGGGCACCUGGCUGAUUCAGUCAGUAAAGCAUGUGACUCUUAAUCUUGGGGUUGUAAGUUCAAGCCCCACGUUGGGCAUAGAGCCCACUUUUUAAAAAAUAAUAAAUAAUAAAAAUUGAAAAAGAAAUUUACAGCUGGAAAUGGUAAAAAUAAUAAUAUUAUAUUUUUAAAAAUUUUCCUAUAAUGCUGAAGAUGUCACCUGACUGUAAGUUGGUGUGACUUGCCUAGUUAGGCUGGGCAGUGUGGAACUGUCCAUGGUUCCAGGGCAGGAAAGGGCAGUCAUUUAAUGGAUGCCUGCAUUUGUCCUAACUCUCCAGGCCACAGUCAGGGCUUCCUCUGUCUUCCUCUCACUGGGUCUGAAACUCGGUAUCUAGCACUUUGAACCCAAAUGAUGAUGAUGGUCCUAUUCAUCUCAGAACUGUAACAAAUACAUUUUGAAAGUUGGCCAGUUUCUCUCUCAGCUCCUUUAGUGAGCUAAUAUUCAAAUUAUCUAAGUAGGUUUGGGCAGAGCUGAGGCUAACAUGUUUUUCACCAUUUAACAAACAAGUUUUAGGGGUGCCUGGGUGGCUCAGUAGGUUAAGCAUCUGCCUUUGGUUCAGGUCAUGAUCUCAGGGUCCUGGGAUCAAGCCCUACAUCAGGCUCUCUGUUCAGCAGCAAGUCUGCUUCUCCCUCUGUCCCCACCUCUGUGAUCUCUCUGGCUCUCACUCACUCUCAAAUAAAUAAAUAAAACCUUUAAAAAAUAAAAUAAAAUAAAAAACAAGUUUUAUUUAAAGGAAAGUCAGUAUGGGGUGCCUGAGUGGCUCAGUCAGUUACACAUCUGCCUUCAGCUCAGGUCAUGAUCUCAGGUCCUGGAAUCAAGCCCGACAUUGGGUUUCCGGCUUAGCAGGGAGUCUGCUUCUUCUUCUCCCUCUGCUCCUCCCACACUGCUUGUGUUCUCUCUCUCUCUCUAUCUCCCCUCUCUCAAAUAAAUAAAUUUAAAAUCUUAGUAAAAAAUAGAAUUAGAUGGAAAACCGAGCCCCUCAAUACUUGAAAAAAUAUAGAAUGGACCUUGAUGUUUGCAAAGGAUCUAGUCUAAAGACUUCCUGAAUUCCAGAUGUGAGAACUAUACUAUCACACAAAACUUUCCCCUU
rnacentral:lncRNA from 1 species